GACGAACGCUGGCGGCGUGCCUAAUACAUGCCAGUAGAACGCUGAAGGAGGAGCUUGCUUCUCUGGAUGAGUUGCGAACGGGUGAGUAACGCGUAGGUAACCUGCCUGGUAGCGGGGGAUAACUAUUGGAAACGAUAGCUAAUACCGCAUAAGAGUAGAUGUUGCAUGACAUUUGCUUAAAAGGUGCAAUUGCAUCACUACCAGAUGGACCUGCGUUGUAUUAGCUAGUUGGUGGGGUAACGGCUCACCAAGGCGACGAUACAUAGCCGACCUGAGAGGGUGAUCGGCCACACUGGGACUGAGACACGGCCCAGACUCCUACGGGAGGCAGCAGUAGGGAAUCUUCGGCAAUGGACGGAAGUCUGACCGAGCAACGCCGCGUGAGUGAAGAAGGGUUUCGGAUCGUAAAGCUCUGUUGUAAGAGAAGAACGAGUGUGAGAGUGGAAAGUUCACACUGUGACGGUAUCUUACCAGAAAGGGACGGCUAACUACGUG
rnacentral:rRNA from 1 species